CCCGUCACGCCUCUUUACAAUGCGCACCCCGACGGGU
rfam:Legionella sp. 40-6 scnpilot_expt_750_p_scaffold_1723, whole genome shotgun sequence.